CGGGUGAGUAAUGUAUGGGGAUCUGCCUGAUGGCGGGGGAUAACUACUGGAAACGGUAGCUAAUACCGCAUAAUGUCUACGGACCAAAGCGGGGGACCUUAGGGCCUCUUGCCAUCGGAUGUGCCCAGAUGGGAUUAGCUAGUAGGUGGGGUAACGGCUCACCUAGGCGACGAUCCCUAGCUGGUCUGAGAGGAUGACCAGCCACACUGGAACUGAGACACGGUCCAG
rnacentral:rRNA from 1 species